rnacentral:snoRNA from 1 species
AUUUUCCAUGAUGAAUUCCUUACCGCCCCAGGCUGAAAGUCUGUUGAUUGGUUUUUUUCUGAUUGAAA